CACCCAUUCGUCUAUCGGCUAGGAUAUAAGCUUCUCACGCUUGAGGGCGGGUUCGAUUCCCCGAUGGGUAA
rnacentral:tRNA from 1 species